rnacentral:misc_RNA from 1 species
GCUUCUCUUCUUCACCUCCCCUUUUUUUCGUUUUUUUUUUUACCUUGGUGGAUUUUAUCUCGCUCCCUGACGAUGCUUAUCUCGAAUACCUGACGACGGCGCUAAUCUGCGUGCUUCAGCUCCUUCAAGCACCUGGAUUGAAGUGGAGAUCUGAGACGGUAGAGAGCUCCAUCUCCUCGGGCGGGGGCGCCACGUUCAGAUCGAUCAUGCAGGUGCUGUUGAUCGGGGACGGGGGAGUGGUGGCGGCUGAGAUGGAGGCCGUGCUGGUGCCUGCAACCGACGCCGCGGCCGCCGCGCCACUCACAUGGGACCGCUUGUGCUGCUGCUUUGCAUCCAUGUCCUCGUCCUCGUCCCCGUCCCCGUCAUGGUGCUCCGGCAAUGGCG